GUGAAUGAUACAUCUCGGUCACUAAGCAAGCAUUGAGUAGAACUAGCAACUGUUUCUCCUCUGAAAAUCAAAGAAGAGAUUUCAGAUGGAAAGGGAUCACCGUGGUACACUUUUGGUACUGGAUCUAAGUGUCCUUGCCUUGGGUUCGUCAUUAGUGUUCAAAUACAAAGAAGCUUAUACUCCUUGUCUUUUCCCUUUCCCUUUCCCUUUUAUAUCUGUCGAUUUUAACUUGUUUCCUAGUCAUUUUGAACUUUUAUUUUAAGAAUUCUCUUUCCUCCUCCUCGUUCAUUUUUUUUCCCUAUUUUAUUUCGGAACUCUGUUUCUUGUAUUAGAGUUUGACACGUUGUGGAGGUUUGGAAGAUGGAUUUCAAAACUGGGUUAAGUCGGAAAUCCAUGUUUUUGGACAGUUAGUUCAUGGAUUUUAGUUUGGUUUUGAUUUGGAAUAUUUAAGUUUGGAUAUAAUGUGUCAAAAACUUUGGUGACUUUUAAAUUGCAGUAAUUCAUGUUGUUUGAGUUAAAAUUUCCAGCUUGGUGUAAAAGCAGACAACCAACUUAGCUUUUCACCUUAAACUUUUAUGUAUCAAUGAUCAAGUCACUGGAUGCAAUUGAUGGAAUAUUUUUUUCAAUGCAAUUGCAAAACGUUAGAUAUUAUGGGGUCGGGUAGAAGUUCCCACAACGUUCAGGCACUCCUAGCAUCAUUUCCCCUUUUGAAAUGUAUGCCAAAGGCGUUACUGUAGUAUGCAAGAACUACAUGCAUGCAACCUCAUCUAAUUUCAUUCCUCAAACAGGCUAUAAAAGUGGUUUGUCAUAUAUCUCUUCACAACGAGAUAGGAAAAAGCCUUACAGUUGUGCUUUGGUGUUUAUCUUUCAACUCAAAUAUUAUGGAAUGCUCUCACUGAAUGGCCAUCUGACAUGAGUUUGUUAUCAUAUGGGGAGAACUUUUUAGGAAGUACCAUAUGGUUUAGCACUUUCAAAUUUCAAUCUUGAGGGACAAAUUUUCGAUGGGUCUAAUAUCAAUGUCUUGUGUUGUCUUUGUUUUUGCAGGUAAAAGAGAUAAGUCGUGUGU
rnacentral:misc_RNA from 1 species